GGUGAGUAACACGUGAGAAUUUACCCUUAGGAGGGGGAUAACCGUAGGAAACAACGGCUAAAACCCCAUAUACUUUUUAGGUUGUAUAACUUGAGUAGUAAAAUAGAUGUUUCUGCCUAAGAAAAAGCUCGCGGCUGAUUAGCUAGUUGGUUGGGUAAAGGCUUACCAAGGCGACGAUCAGUAUCUGGUUUGAGAGGACGAUCAGACACACUGGAACUGAGAUACGGUCCAGACUUC
rnacentral:rRNA from 1 species